rnacentral:rRNA from 1 species
AACCUGCCCCAUAGUCUGGGAUACCACUUGGAAACAGGUGCUAAUACCGGAUAAGAAAGCAGAUCGCAUGAUCAGCUUUUAAAAGGCGGCGUAAGCUGUCGCUAUGGGAUGGCCCCGCGGUGCAUUAGCUAGUUGGUAAGGUAAAGGCUUACCAAGGCGAUGAUGCAUAGCCGAGUUGAGAGACUGAUCGGCCACAUUGGGACUGAGACACGGCCCAAACUCCUACGGGAGGGCAGCAGCA